AGUGAACGCUGGCGGUAGGCCUAACACAUGCAAGUCGAACGGCAGCACAGUAAGAGCUUGCUCUUACGGGUGGCGAGUGGCGUACGGGUGAGGAAUACAUCGGAAUCUACUUUUUCGUGGGGGAUAACGUAGGGAAACUUACGCUAAUACCGCAUACGACCUACGGGUGAAAGCAGGGGAUCUUCGGACCUUGCGCGAUUGAAUGAGCCGAUGUCGGAUUAGCUAGUUGGCGGGGUAAAGGCCCACCAAGGCGACGAUCCGUAGCUGGUCUGAGAGGAUGAUCAGCCACACUGGAACUGAGACACGGUCAAGACGCCUACGGGAGGCAGCAGUGGGGAAUAUUGGACAAUGGGCGCAAGCCUGAUCCAGCCAUACCGCGUGGGUGAAGAAGGCCUUCGGGUUGUAAAGCCCUUUUGUUGGGAAAGAAAAGCAGCAGGUUAAUACCCCGCUGUUCUGACGGUACCCAAAGAAUAAGCACCGGCUAACUUCGUG
rnacentral:rRNA from 1 species